rnacentral:rRNA from 1 species
UACGGAGGAUGCAAGCGUUAUCCGGAAUGAUUGGGCGUAAAGCGUUCGUAGGUGGCGAUGUAAGUAUGAUGUUAAAGAGUGAGGCUCAACCUCAUAAGAGCAGUGGAAACUACAUAGCUAGAGUGCGGUAGGGGCAGAGGGAAUUCCUGGUGUAGCGGUGAAAUGCGUAGAGAUCAGGAAGAACACCGGUGGCGAAAGCGCUCUGCUAGGCCGCAACUGACACUGAGGGACGAAAGCUAGGGGAGCGAAUGGG